UACGGAGGGGGCUAGCGUUGUUCGGAAUUACUGGGCGUAAAGCGCACGUAGGCGGCUUUGCAAGUUAGAGGUGAAAGCCCGGGGCUCAACCCCGGAAUUGCCUUUAAAACUGCAUCGCUAGAAUUGUGGAGAGGUAAGUGGAAUUCCGAGUGUAGAGGUGAAAUUCGUAGAUAUUCGGAAGAACACCAGUGGCGAAGGCGACUUACUGGACACAUAUUGACGCUGAGGUGCGAAGGCGUGGGGAGCAAACAGG
rnacentral:rRNA from 1 species